AGAGGGAUAGCCCAGAGAAAUUUGGAUUAAUACCUCAUAGUAUAAUUGAAUGGCAUCAUUUAAUUAUUAAAGUCACAACGGUAAAAGAUGAGCAUGCGUCCCAUUAGCUAGUUGGUAAGGUAACGGCUUACCAAGGCUACGAUGGGUAGGGGUCCUGAGAGGGAGAUCCCCCACACUGGUACUGAGACACGGACCAGACUCCUACGGGAGGCAGCAGUGAGGAAUAUUGGACAAUGGGCGCAAGCCUGAUCCAGCCAUGCCGCGUGCAGGAUGACGGUCCUAUGGAUUGUAAACUGCUUUUGUACAGGAAGAAACACUGGUUCGUGAACCAGCUUGACGGUACUGUAAGAAUAAGGAUCGUCUAACUCCGUGCCAGCAGCCGCGGUAAUACGGAGGAUCCAAGCGUUAUCCGGAAUCAUUGGGUUUAAAGGGUCCGUAGGCGGUUUGGUAAGUCAGUGGUGAAAGCCCAUCGCUCAACGGUGGAACGGCCAUUGAUACUGCUAGACUUGAAUUAUUAGGAAGUAACUAGAAUAUGUAGUGUAGCGGUGAAAUGCUUAGAGAUUACAUGGAAUACCAAUUGCGAAGGCAGGUUACUACUAAUAUAUUGACGCUGAUGGACGAA
rnacentral:rRNA from 1 species